rnacentral:rRNA from 1 species
AUUGAACGCUGGCGGCAUGCUUUACACAUGCAAGUCGAACGGUAACAGGCCGCAAGGUGCUGACGAGUGGCGAACGGGUGAGUAAUGCAUCGGAACGUGCCCAGUCGUGGGGGAUAACUACUCGAAAGAGUAGCUAAUACCGCAUACGAUCUAUGGAUGAAAGCGGGGGACCGUAAGGCCUCGCGCGAUUGGAGCGGCCGAUGUCAGAUUAGGUAGUUGGUGGGGUAAAGGCUCACCAAGACAACGAUCUGUAGCUGGUCUGAGAUGACGACCAGCCACACUGCGACUGAGACGCGGCCCGGACUCCUGAGGGGUGCAGCACUGGUGAAUUUUGGACAAUAGGCUCAACCCUGAUCCAGCGAUGCCGCGUGCAGGUAGAAGGCCUUCGAGUUAUAACCUUCUUUUUUACUGAACGAAACGGCUCUGGUUAAUACCCGGGGCUAAUGACGGUACCGUAAGAUUAAGCACCGGCUAACUACGUG